AGUGUUCAAGAGCAUGAAACCGAAAUAGCAAGAAAAAAAAAGAAGAGAAGAGAAGGGAAACUUAGGCUAGAAACAAGGAAAGAGCUACGAUUUUGGGAGGAGAAAAAGGCAGCCCAAAACGUUACCAAACAGUCCCUAAGUUUCAGCUGCGCUAAAGGAAAUUCCGAGGCAAGUUUUUGCGCGUUUUGGUGAAUUUCGGGAAAGGUUCAAGAGACGACGAGGCGAGCAUAGUUAAGAGUAAUCCGUAAGAGGUACAGAUGAUUGGUUUGCUGAUCCGUUUGAUUAGGACAUCCACCAUGUUGGUCGACAGUGCUCCUUUGUCCGGAGCCUUAUUUUGGGUACUGACACUUUCUGUUGUAUAUAUAUAUAUAUACGUUGUUCAGGGUACGGCGGGGCCCUGUCCCGUCAUAUGACUAGGAUAUCAUUCUGUAGAGGUCUGUAGAAAUGAGAUGUGGGUUUUGUAUAUAUGUUUUGGGUUUUGUGUGUUUCGUUAUGGCCUAUCGGCCCUCGUGCAUUAUAUCUAUUUUGUGAUCUAUUUAGAGAUCCCUUCUGAUCAUUACCUAUGUUUAUUUGAUUAAUGUACUAAGUGGGGCUAAGGGUACGUAUGGGUGCCCAACUCGGGCACCAGUCAUGGCCUAUGGAGUUGGGUCG